UACGUAGGGUGCGAGCGUUAAUCGGAAUUACUGGGCGUAAAGCGUGCGCAGGCGGUUAUGUAAGACCGAUGUGAAAUCCCCGGGCUUAACCUGGGAACUGCAUUGGUAACUGCAUUGCUGGAGUAUGGCAGAGGGGGGUGGAAUUCCACGUGUAGCAGUGAAAUGCGUAGAGAUGUGGAGGAACACCGAUGGCGAAGGCAGCCCCCUGGGCCAAUACUGACGCUCAUGCACGAAAGCGUGGGGAGCAAACAGG
rnacentral:rRNA from 1 species